GACGAACGCUGGCGGCGUGCUUAACACAUGCAAGUCGAACGGAAAGGCCUGUCCUUCCUUGUGUUGGACGGGUACUCGAGUGGCGAACGGGUAAGUAACACGUGAGUGAUCUGCCCCCAACUUGGGUAUAAGCCUGGGAAACUGGGUCUAAUUCCCGAUAGGACUGCAGGGUGGUGCCUGUGGUGGAAAACGAUUUUCUAGUGGUUGGGGAUGAGCUCGCGGCCUAUCAGCUUGUUGGUGGGGUAAUGGCCUACCAAGGCGGCGACGGGUAGCCGGCCUGAGAGGGUGGACGGCCACAUUGGGACUGAGAUACGGCCCAGACUCCUACGGGAGGCAGCAGUGGGGAAUAUUGCACAAUGGGCGGAAGCCUGAUGCAGCGACGCCGCGUGGGGGAUGACGGCCUUCGGGUUGUAAACUCCUUUCGACCGCGAGGAAGCCGCCUGGUUGGAAGGGUGGUGACGGUAGUGGUAGAAGAAGCACCGGCUAACUACGUG
rnacentral:rRNA from 1 species